CUUACCAUGCAAGUCGAACGGAAAGGCCCUUUCGGGGGUACUCGAGUGGCGAACGGGUGAGUAACACGUGGGUGAUCUGCCCUGCACUUUGGGAUAAGCCUGGGAAACUGGGUCUAAUACCGAAUACACCUUGCUGGCUGCAUGGCCUGGUGGGGGAAAGCUUUUGCGGUGUGGGAUGGGCCCGCGGCCUAUCAGCUUGUUGGUGGGGUGAUGGCCUACCAAGGCGACGACGGGUAGCCGGCCUGAGAGGGUGUCCGGCCACACUGGGACUGAGAUACGGCCCAGACUCCUACGGGAGGCAGCAGUGGGGAAUAUUGCACAAUGGGCGCAAGCCUGAUGCAGCGACGCCGCGUGAGGGAUGACGGCCUUCGGGUUGUAAACCUCUUUCAGUAUCGACGAAGCGCAAGUGACGGUAGGUACAGAAGAAGCACCGGCCAACUACGUGCCAGCAGCCGCGGUAAUACGUAGGGUGCGAGCGUUGUCCGGAAUUACUGGGCGUAAAGAGCUCGUAGGUGGUUUGUCGCGUUGUUCGUGAAAACUCACAGCUCAACUGUGGGCGUGCGGGCGAUACGGGCAGACUGGAGUACUGCAGGGGAGACUGGAAUUCCUGGUGUAGCGGUGGAAUGCGCAGAUAUCAGGAGGAACACCGGUGGCGAAGGCGGGUCUCUGGGCAGUAACUGACGCUGAGGAGCGAAAGCGUGGGGAGCGAACAGGAUUAGAUACCCUGGUAGUCCACGCCGUAAACGGUGGGUACUAGGUGUGGGUUUCCUUCCUUGGGAUCCGUGCCGUAGCUAACGCAUUAAGUACCCC
rnacentral:rRNA from 1 species